rnacentral:rRNA from 1 species
CAAUAGCGUAUAUUAAAGUUGUUGCAGUUAAAAAGCUCGUAGUUGGAUUUCUGGUUGAAGCGACCGGUCGGGCGUUGAUUCGUCUGCACUGGAGUCGGUUUUGGCCAUCCUCUAGGAAAGUGCGUCUGGUAUUAAGUUAUCGGGCGUAUGAUCCUGGUCUUUUACUGUGAAAAAAUUAGAGUGUUUAAAGCAGGCCUUCGCCUUGAAUACAUUAGCAUGGAAUAAUAAGAUAGGACUUUGGUCUAUUUUGUUGGUUUGCAGACCGAAGUAAUGAUUAAUAGGGAUAGUUGGGGGUAUUUAUAUUCCGAUGUCAGAGGUGAAAUUCUUAGAUUUUCGGAAGAUAAACUGAUGCGAAAGCAUUUACCAAGGAUGUUUUCAUUAA